rnacentral:rRNA from 1 species
AUGGCUCCCGCCGCUUCCACCUCGCCGCUCUCCCGCCUCCUGCUCAGCCUCCCGAAGCCCAACACCCGGCCGCCCCUCUGCGCCCAGGCGCCGAGCGCGGACUCCGGCGCGGGAGCCAGCACCAAGAACGUCGUCCUCCGCCGGCGCGAGGCCGCGGCAGCCGUCCUGUCCGCCGCUCUCCUCUCACGCGUCCUCCCCGCAGCGGCCGCCGCAGAUGAGUGCGCGCUCGAGGCGACACCGUCCGGCCUCGCCUUCUGCGACCGCGUCGUCGGCACCGGCGCCGAGGCCGUCAAAGGCCAGCUCAUCAAGGCGCACUACCGGGGGAUGCUGGAGGACGGCACGGUGUUCGACAGCAGCUACGGCCGCGGGAGGCCGCUGACCAUCAUGGUGGGCGUGGGGGAGGUGAUCAAGGGGUGGGACCUGUGCCUCGCCGGCGGCGAAGGGAUCCCGCCGAUGAGAGUCGGUGGGAAGCGGAGCCUGAGGCUGCCGCCGGAGCUGGCCUACGGGGAGAAGGGGGCCGGGUGCAGGGGGUGGGAGCCCACCUCCUGCGUCAUCCCGCCCAACUCCACGCUCCUCUUCGACGUCGAGUACGUCGGCAGGGCAUCCUCCUGA